rnacentral:rRNA from 1 species
GACGAACGCUGGCGGCAGGCCUAACACAUGCAAGUCGAGCGGUAACACAGGGAGCUUGCUCCUGGGUGACGAGCGGCGGACGGGUGAGUAAUGUCUGGGAAACUGCCCGAUGGAGGGGGAUAACUACUGGAAACGGUAGCUAAUACCGCAUAACGUCGCAAGACCAAAGAGGGGGACCUUCGGGCCUCUUGCCAUCGGAUGUGCCCAGAUGGGAUUAGCUAGUAGGUGGGGUAACGGCUCACCUAGGCGACGAUCCCUAGCUGGUCUGAGAGGAUGACCAGCCACACUGGAACUGAGACACGGUCCAGACUCCUACGGGAGGCAGCAGUGGGGAAUAUUGCACAAUGGGCGCAAGCCUGAUGCAGCCAUGCCGCGUGUAUGAAGAAGGCCUUCGGGUUGUAAAGUACUUUCAGCGAGGAGGAAGGCAUUGUGGUUAAUAACCACAGUGAUUGACGUUACUCGCAGAAGAAGCACCGGCUAACUCCGUGCCAGCAGCCGCAGUAACAC